rnacentral:sRNA from 1 species
CAGUCUGGGGCGAGCGCUGUAGUGAGCGCGGACGGAUGCUUAGGCAGUAGUCCUGGCAGCGGCAGUAGUGGUGGCAGCAGAAGAGAGGAAGGGGGAGGGCCCCGAGGGCUACACACGCUCACACUUUCAAGUUCCCUUGGAGGGAGAGGAGGUGGGGCUGCAGAAAGAGGAGGCCAGGAGCGGUCCCAUCCGUCCCGUCCCGUCUCCCCCUCUUCCUCUUGCUCCUUGCCCCCCGGCUCUGCGAGAGUUGAGGGUUCAGGUGGCCGUACGCGGCAGUGAGGGCAAGAGGGCCAGGAGAGUGGGGAGCGGAGGCAGGAGUGCGGGGGAAGAUGCCCAUCCUGCUGUUCCUCAUAGACACGUCCGCCUCUAUGAACCAGCGCACUGACCUGGGCACCUCCUAUUUGGACAUUGCCAAAGGCGCUGUGGAGUUAUUCUUGAAGCUGCGCGCCCGGGACCCGGCCAGCCGCGGAGACAGGUACAUGCUGGUCACCUACGACGAACCCCCGUACUGCAUCAAGGCUGGUUGGAAGGAAAAUCAUGCAACAUUCAUGAGCGAACUAAAAAAUCUUCAGGCUUCUGGACUGACUACUCUUGGUCAGGCUCUAAGAUCCUCAUUUGAUUUGUUAAAUCUCAAUAGAUUAAUAUCUGGAAUAGACAAUUAUGGACAGGGGAGAAAUCCAUUUUUUUUAGAACCAUCUAUUUUAAUUACCAUCACAGAUGGAAACAAGUUAACAAGUACUGCUGGUGUUCAAGAAGAGCUCCAUCUUCCUUUGAAUUCCCCUCUGCCUGGAAGUGAACUAACCAAAGAACCUUUUCGUUGGGAUCAAAGGUUAUUUGCCCUGGUGUUGCGUUUGCCUGGAGUGGCUUCUACCGAACCAGAGCAACUAGGGAGCGUACCAACUGAUGAAUCUGCCAUCACACAGAUGUGUGAAGUCACAGGAGGUCGCUCCUACUGUGUGAGAACACAAAGAAUGUUGAAUCAAUGUUUAGAAUCUCUAGUUCAAAAAGUUCAGAGUGGUGUAGUUAUUAAUUUUGAAAAAACAGGACCAGAUCCACUUCCUAUUGGAGAAGAUGGACUUAUGGAUUCAUCUAGGCCAAGCAAUUCAUUUGCUGCUCAGCCAUGGCAUAGUUGUCAUAAACUCAUUUAUGUACGACCUAACUCUAAAACUGGUGUUCCUGUUGGACAUUGGCCAAUUCCAGAAUCUUUUUGGCCAGAUCAGAAUUUACCUUCAUUACCUCCACGAACAUCUCAUCCUGUUGUGAGGUUCUCCUGUGUAGAUUGUGAGCCAAUGGUAAUAGACAAACUUCCUUUUGACAAAUAUGAACUUGAACCUUCACCCUUAACUCAGUAUGUCUUGGAACGAAAGUCUCCCCAUACCUGCUGGCAGAUGACUUGUUUAAAGUUCACAAGCUUAAGCCAAAUCUGAAGUGGCGACAGGCUUUUGACAGCUACUUAAAAACUCUGCCUCCAUACUACCUAUUAACCAAACUAGAGUCAGAACGAAUACUAGCAUCAGUGGGGAAGAAACCUCCCCAGGAAAUUGGAAUUAAAGUGAAAAAUCAUUCUGGAGGUGGCAUGUCCUUGACUCACAAUAAAAAUUUUAGAAAACUAUUGAAAGAAAUCACAGGGGAAACUGCGCUUAGACUGACAGAAUUGAACACCAAAGAAUUUGCUGGCUUCCAAAUUGGGCUCUUAAACAAGGAUUUGAAACCUCAGACAUACAGAAAUGCUUAUGAUAUUCCCCGUAGAGAUCUUUUAGACCAGCUGACCAGAAUGAGAUCCAAUCUGCUGAAAACGCACAAGUUUAUUGUUGGACAAGAUGAAGAUUCCCUUCAUAGUGUUCCAGUUGCACAAAUGGGUAACUAUCAGGAAUAUCUGAAGACAUUGGCUUCUCCACUACGGGAGAUUGAUCCAGACCAACCCAAAAGACUGCAUACUUUUGGCAAUCCGUUUAAACAAGAUAAGAAGGGAAUGAUGAUUGAUGAAGCAGAUGAGUUUGUAGCAGGGCCACAAAACAAAGUGAAACGUCCAGGGGAACCCAACAGUCCUAUGUCAUCUAAGAGAAGGCGGAAUGCUACUGUCAUUCACGAUGGCCAUGAGGAGAAGAUGGAAAAUGGUCAGAUCACACCUGAUGGCUUCCUGUCAAAGUCUGCUCCAUCAGAGCUUAUAAAUAUGACAGGAGAUCUUAUGCCACCCAACCAAGUGGAUUCUCUGUCUGAUGACUUCACAAGUCUCAGCAAAGAUGGGCUGAUUCAAAAACCUGGUAGUAACGCAUUUGUAGGAGGAGCCAAAAACUGCAAUCUCUCCGUAGAUGACCAAAAAGACCCAGUAGCAUCUACUUUGGGAACUAUGCCAAAUACAUUACAAAUCACUCCUGCUAUGGCACAAGGAAUCAAUGCUGAUAUAAAACAUCAAUUAAUGAAGGAAGUUCGAAAGUUUGGACGAAAAUAUGAAAGAAUUUUCAUUUUGCUUGAAGAAGUGCAAGGACCUCUGGAGAUGAAGAAACAAUUUGUUGAAUUUACCAUCAAGGAAGCCGCAAGGUUUAAAAGACGAGUCCUAAUUCAGUACCUCGAGAAGGUACUAGAGAAAAUAGAUUCCCACCACCUUCUCAACAACAUUAAUCACAUCAACAGCAGAUCAUCAUGUUAGUGCAAAGACCAAUGAGAAAAAAAUGACAAGUUUUCUGUGCUGUAGGAUGGAACAGGAUAUUGUUGAAGCCUCCUGGAAUGUUUGAGUCAAGGGAAUUGCUUUCCAGAUGCUAAGAAGAAGCAGUGGGGCUUUUGAAUUUUAUGAUUAUCUGGCAGUGAAAGCUGGGCUUUUGCCUUAAUAAUUUUUUAAAGUAUGAGUUGUUUUGUUUUGUUUUCCUCAAUUGAGGAAGCUGAUGUUAUUAAUUCAGCAGGCUAAAUUCAGUAAACACCGCUGCCCCUACCACGGGUAAUGAGAGGUCACUCACUUGAACUUUGCCAUUCCAGGCAUUCUCAGAGUGGCUAGGGGCCACCUGCAAGUGGAGCACAACUUGGUGCUCUUACUGUGUCCUUCAGAAAGAAUAGGUGUACAGAAAAGAAAUGGCAAUCUUAUGUGAGCUGAACAAAGUUUUCAACAAUUCCUAGUUGUGCCUUUUAAACCAUGCAAUAUUCAGGAUAGUUUGAAUCAAAGAAGUAAGAAGCUGCUAUUUGGGUAACUUAUUUCUCUGUGGGAAGGGGCAGGGAGAGUCACCAAACAAUCUACCUCCAACUCUCUUCUCGUUUGUCUAGAGACAUUACAAAGUGCACUUGAGGCUGCCCCCAACCUCUGACAUUUGUUCUUGCAUGUGAUGAUAGAAAAUCUUCAGAUGGACUUAUACAUUCUGUGCUUUGGAAGCACAAGAAGAUCAAAAAAUGUAUAUAUUUCCUUUAAUGUUUAUACAAAAGUUUAUAUGGAGCAGUAUUGUUAUGUUUGUAUGAAUUUGCAAAAAUUAAAGUGUACAAAGAGAUUUUGAUUUUGCAUAUAUAAAAUAAAUCAUUUUAUUGAUUUUCACGGGUUC